rnacentral:rRNA from 1 species
AUUGAACGCUGGCGGCAUGCUCUACACAUGCAAGUCGAACGGUAACAGGCCGCAAGGUGCUGACGAGUGGCGAACGGGUGAGUAAUGCAUCGGAACGUGCCCAGUCGUGGGGGAUAACUACUCGAAAGAGUAGCUAAUACCGCAUACGAUCUAUGGAUGAAAGCGGGGGACCGUAAGGCCUCGCGCGAUUGGAUCGGCCGAUGUCAGAUUAGGUAGUUGGUGGGGUAAAGGCUCACCAAGCCAACGAUCUGUAGCUGGUCUGAGAGGACGAACAGCCACACUGGGACUGAGAAACGGCCCAGACUCCGACGGGAGGCAGCAGUGGGGAAUUUUGGACAAUGGGCGCAAGCCUGAUCCAGCAAUGCCGCGUGCAGGAAGAAGGCCUUCGGGUUGUAAACUGCUUUUGUACGGAACGAAACGGCUCUGGUUAAUACCCGGGGCUAAUGACGGUACCGUAAGAAUAAGCACCGGCUAACUACGUG